UCCCUGGAGGACUAGUGGUUAGGCCACAGCACACUCACUGCUGCGGCCUGGGUUCGAUUCCCGGCCAGGGAA
rnacentral:tRNA from 1 species